rnacentral:rRNA from 1 species
GACGAACGCUGGCGGCGUGCUUAACACAUGCAAGUCGAACGAAGAGCGAUGGCAGCUUGCUUCUGUCAAUCUUAGUGGCGAACGGGUGAGUAACGCGUAAUCAACCGGCCCUUUAGAGGGGGACAACAGUUGGAAACGACUGCUAAUACCGCAUACGAUCUAAUCUCGGCAUCGAGGAUAGAUGAAAGGUGGCCUCUACAUGUAAGCUAGCACUGAAGGAGGGGAUUGCGUCUGAUUAGCUAGUUGGAGGGGUAACGGCCCACCAAGGCGAUGAUCAGUAGCCGGUCUGAGAGGGUGAACGGCCACAUUGGGACUGAGACACGGCCCAGACUCCUACGGGAGGCAGCAGUGGGGAAUCUUCCGCAAUGGACGAAAGUCUGACGGAGAAACGCCGCGUGAGUGAUGACGGACUUCGGGUUGCAAAGCUCUGUUAAUCGGGACGAAAGGCGUUCUUGCGAAUAGUGAGAAGGAUUGACGGUACCGGAAUAGAAAGCCACGGCUAACUACGUG